GCAAGGAAUUUUCGGCAAUGGGCGCAAGCCUGACCGAGCAACGCCGCGUGCGGGAUGACGGCCUUCGGGUUGUAAACCGCUUUUCGGGGGGACGAUGAUGACGGUACCCCCGGAAUAAGCCCCGGCUAACUCUGUGCCAGCAGCCGCGGUAAGACAGAGGGGGCCAGCGUUGUCCGGAGUUACUGGGCGUAAAGCGCACGCAGGCGGCGGCUUAAGUGUCGUGUGAAAGCUCCCGGCUCAACCGGGAGAGGCCAUGGCAGACUGGGUCGCUGGAGCGCCGGAGAGGUCUCUCGAAUCGCCGGUGUAGUGGUGAAAUGCGUAGAGAUCGGCGGGAAGACCAAGGGGGAAGCCAGGAGACUGGCCGGCCGCUGACGCUGAGGUGCGACGGCGUGGGGAGCAAACCGGAUUAGAAACCCGGGUAGUCC
rnacentral:rRNA from 1 species